CCAUUUUGAAAACAUCUGGUAAAAAUCAUGAGGAUUUCAUCCCGUACCAGAUCCAAUCUCAAGCAACUAGAAUCAACAUCUCUGCUGUUAGGUCUUCCCGAGGAGGUUCAUUAUGAGAUCUUUCUGAAGUUACCAGCAAAUUCCAUCCUGGUAUCCAGGUGUGUAUGUAAGGUUUUCUAUAAUCUACUUUCUAAACCUAAUUUUAUCAAGAACCAUCUCAAUCUCACUGUUCAAACUAAAAUUAACAACCCUAAACUUUUGAUUAGUCAGUACCUGCGAGGUAAGCACCCUACGAUUUACUCAAUCCCUAUAGAUUAUGCUUCAAUUUCAUCGUCAUCAUCAUCAUCAUCAUUAUCAUCAUCAUCGUCUUUAUCAAGUGUUGUAUGUAAUGGAGCUGUUCAGAUAAAUUACCCAUUUGAAUCAAUGGAAAUGAAUUAUCUUGAAUUUCUGGGUUCAGUGAAUGGUCUGAUUUGCUCAAGGAUUUCUAAGACUGAUAGAGCUGCUUAUGAAAUGGGAUAUUUUAUGGAGACUGAUUAUUUUAGUAUUUUGAACCCAUUAACAAGAGAAUUCAAGGAAUUUAAAAAACCCGAUUAUAGUUACGACGCUGUCUAUGGAUUCGGCUAUGAUAGCAACAUUGAUGAUUAUAAGCUAGUAGUAAUAUCGGAUUAUGUAAAAACUCGUUGCUUCAAAGUCAUGUUUAUACGGUGAAAAUGGAUUCAUGGAGUAGUAUUCAAGGCACAAGGAAUUACUCAUUUGGUAACGGUGGUAAAGAAUCUCAUGGUGUGUUUUUCAAUGGUUGUCUUCAUUGGUUGGGAAGUAUUGCCGCUGGAGAAACCUCGUCGGAAGUUAUUGUCUCUUUUGAUGUUAGCAAUGAGACUAUGGCGGAUAUGCUGUUGCCUGAAAAUAUUAUGCCACCUAGAGGUUAUCGGGGGGAAAUGUAUGCGAAUGUGGGAGUGUGGGGAGACUGCAUUGGUAUAACUUUUAUUUGGAGAAUUGAGAGAAUCGAUGUGUGGGUAAUGCAGGAGUAUGGAGUAAAAGAAUCUUGGAUCAAAAAAUAUACCACAACCACAACUCGACUACCAAGGCCCUUAUAUCCAUAUUGGAAGCCGCUAUGGUGUUUUGAUAAUGGGGAAAUUCUAGUAGAUAAUUCUCCCAAACAUUUAUUUUUAUGUGAUCCAGCAAAGGGAAGAGUUAGAUCAGUCGUUGUCCGCGAUAUUACCAAGGCCAAUAACCGUGAGAGUUAUGUAGAGAGCAUAGUCUCUCUUAAAUCUGGUACUUAUCUGGAGGAACGGGUUACACAGGGGAUUCCGAAGAAUUUUGAGUGACAACUUGAGAUGAACCUGAUAGCCUUGUCUGAGAAGACUCUAUGAUCUCAUUGUUUAUAAAAGUGAAUCCCUGUAACUUUAGACUGACCUUUAAGGAAGAGUCUUGUUAGAGAAUGAUCCAUGAAAGUUUCUGCGAAUGAAGAAGUUUACAGUAGUAUUGGAGUUUCAAAAUGCUAAUGAGUGAAAGCUACAAAAUUGCCUGAUCGGCUGAUAGUGGUAAGUGAAAUCAGAAAUCUUUUAGCAAUCAAUUACUGCCAAUAUACUUUCCUAUUAUAUCUAUUAAACUAGUUCGAAAUCGUUUUUAUUGUGUUGUGUGACCUUGUCUAUUUGCUUUGAGUCUGGAGCUAGUGUUGACCCUGAUAUUCCUGAUGGUAAAACUUUAAUAGGUAUUUCUAAGUGAUCAAAUGCUGGUGUCUUCUUUUGGUUGUUCAGAAUCCAAUAGACAUCAUAGCGGUUAAACAGCUAGUUGAAAUUCAAAUCUGUUAUAACGAGUAAAUCGAACCCACGACAUUCCAAGUCAUUAAAUCUCAGAAGAUAACUGUGUUUUCUUUACUGCAUUUACUUUACAAAUGUCAUCUUUAUUCGGGACUGUAAUUAGGUGUUUCUUUGUAUAUUUGGGCAGUGCGUGCGGUGGUAUCUGAUUGAUUCAACUGAUACUGUUGGAUUUUUUUUUAACCCCUUAUAGUGCUUGGUAUACAUUUUUCUUAGGGCAACACUAUUAAAAUAGAUUUUUUUGAAAACUCGAUACAUUUUAUUGUUUUAUUUUUUUCUUAAGAACACGUAGAACGCAUUCAGUAUAUCAAUAUCUGUUAUUUCAGUAUAAAUUUUGAGUUUGUAUGUUGGUUGGAUUGUACAUAAGUCUGGAUUGUGCAAAUGAUACUGCGCGCAGUUGUUGAUUCGGAUUCA